CUAGUAAAAAGAAAGGAAAACGUGAGCCUCCGCCGAUGUGGUGCUAGCCACCACCACCGAGCCCUAGCAGCAAAGGGAGUGGUGGCUUAUUCCACGGCGCAUCUCCACGCGUGCAGCAGCGACCCCGGGAGGAGCUCAAGCCGCAACGAUGGUCCACCGCGCCGGCGCCGUCGUCGACCGGCAGUGGAGGAGCAGCGGCGGCCAACGGCAGAUCGGCGUGUCAUGGGAGCAGACACGGCAGCUGUCACGGGCAGAGCAGAGCGAAGUUGGCAUGGCGGCUAGGCGGCUGUCCGGACUGGAUCCCGCCAUCACCACCAGCCCGCCUCGUUUGUCCGUGUCCAUCUCGGCGAAACCAAGGGUCUGCCUCGUGUCCUGCGAGGUGACACUCCACCGCCACCGCUCUGCUGCUUCCGCCCUACACUUCACUCCCUCCGGUGCCAUCCUCAGCUCCGACAAAAAGGACCUCUUGGACGUCAUUGCACAUGCUGGCCUCUUCCGACCCCGUGGCCACCGUGAUCAGGUAAUUGAUUUUGUGUUCCUGGAUUCGGGUAAGAAGCUAGUGACCUGCUCCAAGGACAAGGUUAUCUGGGUUUGGGACCUCAACACACAACACUGCCUUCAAAUUGUAAGGUGUCCAUCACAUCAAGAUAUGGUCGAUGGAUGUUGAUUCUAGCUAGAAGUUUUUGGUGUCUGUCUCGGCCGAUCAAGAGCUGUGGGUGUUCAAAAUCAGGCAAUCAGCUGAACAGGGUGAAGAUUGGAACAAAUGGGAUGCACUUCACCAUUGAUCUAUUGUGAUUCCUUUUCCCCUUUAAUAACGUGUACGUAUAGGGUAGUCAAGCGCCACAGGAUAUCAGCCUUUGUUGUGGAUGAGAGUGGGAUGAUCAAUCGGAUUGCCGGGGUAGUACAACAUUGAGUCAUUGGCAGUUGGGCUCAACAAGGACAAGGCGUUGUUCACCAUAGGGGUAUUAGGAACAGAGAAAAUACUCACACAAGGCAUGGAGCAGCUACAAACUUGUUAAUGUUAUACAGCGAGCAGCUUCCCUUGCGCCGUCAUCCAUCCACCAACAAGUCCAUGACCAUGCAUCAGAGAAUGAAAAGCAUCUUUCACGCUGCCAACGGGAUCUGGACCAAGAAGAGGAUCAGGAGGACGAAUACAGUGGACACUACUACUCAGCAAGAUACAGUUCAAACCCUGUAUCCUCCUGAUUGAUCUCCCUUCGCCCCUGUUUAAGAAUCAUGUUUCACCCAUUCAGUGUUGUCUUCAGAAUUAUAGACACCUCAUUCUAUAAGGAGGCCGCCACCAAGAAGAGCGAGGUUGUGUCAAUGGACUCAGCGACAAGUUGUAGAAAGAAACAAGGCUUAUGUUAGGCAAAGUUGAUUAGGUUGUACUACACACCAAGUGCCUCCAUAAGAAUCUAGAUAAAAUGCCAUAAAAGUUGAAGAGCCUAGCUUGGACAAGAAGGAACAACAUUGUAGUAUUAUCAAGCAUGAAGAUGAAGGUGCACGCGAAGAGAACAAGAACAGAGUUUGUAGUGGAGAUUUCCGCACUUUGAAGCCACCAUGAUGUCAUAUAAGAAGAUGGAUGAAAUAUACAACAUGGCAUUUUAUAAAUUUCGUCCAUAGCUUAUUAUUUGUAUUGCGCCACCUUAUUUUUUGGGCCAUGUCCAUGUAAUUUUCAAAUACUACUUCAUAGGCUGUUUUUAGAGUCCAUAUUAUAGGGGAAACGAACCGGGAGGUAUUUUAGUCCCACCUUGCCAAGGGUGGACGAAAUCCCCUCUUUUCCCCUAUAAAUAUAGCCCUUAAGGCAUCGUUUAGACUUGGGUUUUAUUUAGUUAAAAGUUAUCCAUCGCUGCAACUUCGUGUACUUCGUUUGUGUCCAAUGACCAGACCAAGACCGCUUAUGAAACCCCACUUUUAUCAAUACUUCAUGCAUAUUCGCAAUAUUCAGCUUGCAUUAAUUAACGUGGUUGUAGCAUUUUUUCACACAUAUAAAUCCAACCUAGCUCCACAUAUUUCUACACCGUGCAUAUAUACGUUCACCUGGCGAUCGCUUUACCCAACUUUUGGAGUUAUUUGACACCGCUGGUUGCCGAUCACCUCCUGCUGCAUGGUAAGAAUUUGCCAGACUUUGAUUUUUUCUCUACUGUGAGCGUUUUAUCACCACAUCCCAGUAGUUCAUAGGAACGGAUUUUGUUUCCUGUUUCUACUAAUCAUGGCAGGUUCCGGAAUCGAUUGGGCUUCAUCGAUUGUGGGAGACGUGCCAUCACCUCAGACAAUACAGCCACCAUCACAAGAGGUACAAAGACGUCAGAAUACGCACAAACAGGUGACGAAACUUGAAUCUGUGUCAUCAAGAGGAAUAGAUCAGGAGAGGGCGAGGUAUCAGAAGGUUGAAGAACUGAAAGAAACAAUAAGAACAACAGAAGACGCAAAAAAUCAUUCAUGCAAAGAGUAUAAGCUUAUUAAGGUAAAUCACCCGCGUGUUGUACUUGAUAGUAGUCUUCUGAGAUGUGAGCUACUAUUUAUUUCUAAACUGUACAAUUCAAGGUUGUUAUGAUGUAAGGUUAGAUUACACCAUUUCGUAGCAUUUACUGAUCGAUCAUUGGUUUGCCCCUUUUUGAGGUAUCCUGCUUUUCAAGUAUGCGGUGCUGUAGUGAACUAGUGAUUGAUUCAUCUGUGGAUUAGUUUACCUCUUUCUAAGGUAUCUUGCUAAUUAUCCUAAAGCCAUGCUAUUCCUUUUUGUUUGUGUUAAGCAGGUAACUUGUAAUGGUUGCUAAUUAUAUAUUCAUGUGCACCAGAUUAUGCCCUUUUGACUUCGUAUCACUUUACUUAUACUUAAUUACAAGCUAAGUAUCUGUUUACUUGUUUCCAUUAAGAAAAGUAGCUUAAAAAAUAUGUGAAGGUUAUAUAAGAUCAAAAUAUUAACAUGUAAAUCUGAAAUAUAAACAUCAGUGAGCAAUGCUCCUGCAUCAGGGACUCAGGGUAUAAAUGUGCGUUUUUUAGAUUGAGUACAUUCUAUUCCAUUAACCGCUACGACCAGCAAUAUCGUCUCCAGCUACCAAACUGAGCACAAAGUCAGGAUCACCAUCUAGCUAGCCAAACACACGUCAGCGACCUUGUAACAAUGCACCUUUGUUUCUCAGAUAUUUUUUUGACCUGUAUACUAUUUAUUUGGUUUGUGUUCCUGUUCUUUAUCGAAAAAUACAUCCAUAUUGUUUAUAUAAUUACCUCUCUGUAAAAAUUGAUGUUUUCAGAGAUCCGGUGAAGAAAUGUCCUUCAUCGCUGAGACUAUACUAUUGGACAGUGUCAUUGCUUCUGAAUCAACUAAAGUAUCUAUAAUAUAAACCUGUUGCCUAUGUGUUCAUAUGUGCUUAUCAGUGCAAUAAGCAUCUUUCAUGUCUCUGUUUCUAGCCAUCUGAUUGAUUUCAAUUUCUUUCUGAUAUGCAUCGCGUUAUAAUGAGUUUAUCCACGACCACCUCAUCACUAACAUCUGCAACAGCAAAGUCACCGCCAACCUAGCCGCAGCCGUAGCCAAGGCUGGCAUAACUGGAUGCGAGAAGACAAAUGGUAAUCUUCUGUAUGCAGGAUGUCACAUGUUCUACAAUCUUUGGUGUUUCAGGAUCAUUUGGACAAGUUUACAGAGGAGAAUGACAUGGAACAGUAAGUAUUUCAGUUUAAAUGUGCUCUUAUAGUGUUGAAAUUUAUUAAUUAGUUCCUUGGCGCGGAACACCUCUUAGAUCAUUGUAAUCAGACGGUUUAUAUACUAAUUUUCCGAGUAUUAGAUUCAAGCACUAACUCUGUUCAAAGUUCAGCUACAAUAAUCAAAUCUUCAAGGAUGGUACUGUCGUCUUGAUAAUUUUUCAGCAAAACUGUAUCCCACUACUCGGUGUAUUAUCAUUGGCUUUUGUCAUUAUGAUCCCAUGUCUUCAUGAACCCUACACACUGUAAUGCCUUCCAGAUUUCAAUCCAUACUGGUUACAUUACCAGGUCUAUUCUUAUCUAAUUUUUAUAGCUCGCUUGUCUUGCUGAGAUGGAGGUGAAGUAUCGAUUAAAGUUCUGGAAAUUGGCCUCCCACUGGGAGGAAUUGCAAAGUUGUUUGCUUAGGAUUUGCUCAUGAUUGUUGAUUAGAACGAACAUAAUUGUCCAUUGUCCUGCUCUCAUUAGAACCCUGUACAACUAGAUCUUGCACUGUCGCCCUUGGAUAUUGGGAAGUCUGAAGAAGCCUGUGGUUUAGGGUUCUUGCGAAUCAUGCUGGUCGUUCAGCGCGUCUGGGCAUUGGAGUGGGCCAACUACCUGACGACAGGCAAGAUGGAGAUGCUCUCUGAGCAGCAGUUGCUGCGACCAUGAGCUGAGUAAGAGCCAGCAACCUCAAGGAACAAUAACCAUUCAAGAUUAAUGCACAUUUGGCUUGCCGUGGCCUGGGCGUCAUAAAAAAUGGCAAGGACGUCACUGAGGCUGCCUUGGAUGCUCUUGCCAACCAGUUGAAGGAGUAGCUGAAGCUGCAAGACAUUGUCGCGCUCCGAGAAAUCUUCAGGCUCGAUGACGAGCAGGCCGUGGCGAUCAAGCAGGGUGCCCUUGUCAACCUUGGAGUUGUUGAUGCUCUAGAUCAUGAAAGAGAGAGUAUUCAGGCCACUGAUGUAUAAGCCCCCUUCUGUUUAUACAUGACCUGUUGGGGAAGAUCAACUCUAAUGACAGCACAAUGCACUUGUUCU